rnacentral:rRNA from 1 species
CGAAGCAUGGCAUAGGUAAGUGACCUGCGGAGGACAUUACAGUAUUCUUUUGCCAGCGCUUAACUGCGCGGCGAAAAACCUUACACACAGUGUCUUUUUGAUACAGAACUCUUGCUUUGGUUUGGCCUAGAGAUAGGUUGGGCCAGAGGUUUAACAAAACACAAUUUAAUUAUUUUUACAGUUAGUCAAAUUUUGAAUUAAUCUUCAAAACUUUCAACAACGGAUCUCUUGGUUCUCGCAUCGAUGAAGAACGCAGCGAAAUGCGAUAAGUAAUAUGAAUUGCAGAUUUUCGUGAAUCAUCGAAUCUUUGAACGCACAUUGCGCCCUCUGGUAUUCCAGAGGGCAUGCCUGUUUGAGCGUCAUUUCUCUCUCAAACCCCCGGGUUUGGUAUUGAGUGAUACUCUUAGUCGGACUAGGCGUUUGCUUGAAAAGUAUUGGCAUGGGUAGUACUAGAUAGUGCUGUCGACCUCUCAAUGUAUUAGGUUUAUCCAACUCGUUGAAUGGUGUGGCGGGAUAUUUCUGGUAUUGUUGGCCCGGCCUUACAACAACCAAACAAGUUUGACCUCAAAUCAGGUAGGAAUACCCGCUGAACUUAAGCAUAUCAUAGACCGGGAAAAGGA